UUUUCGAGGUAGGAGUCGAGUACUGUAAGGUAUGGUGCUGGGUGCAGAUGCAGUGUGGCUCUGGAUAGCACCUUAUGGACAGUUGUGUCCCCAAGGAAGGAUGAGAAUAGCUACUGAAGUAAGUUGAAAAUUCCCUCUCAAAAAGAUUUAAAGCCAUUGGAUGUGCCACAAUGAUGACAGUUUAUUUGCUACUCUUGAGUGCUAGAAUGAUGAGGAUCUUAACCACCAUUAUCUUAACUGAGGCACCCAAAAUGGUGAUUUGGGGAACAUAGAGAGUACACCUAAGUUCACAUGAAGUUGUUUCUUCCCAGGUCCUAAACAGCAAGCCUAACUCAAGCCAUUGGCACACAGGCAUUAGACAGAAAGCUGGAAGUUGAAAUGGUGGAGUCCAACUUGCCUGGACCAGCUUAAUGGUUCUGCUCCUGGUAACGUUUUUAUCCAUGGAUGACUUGCUUGGGUAAGGACAUGAAGACAGUUCCUGUCAUACCUUUUAAAGGUACAUGUUUUAUUGAUGUUAACGUUAAUUGAUUGAGCUACUGUUAGUGAUGAUUUUAAAAUUAAAGCAGAUGGGAAUCUCUCUGAGAAAGAAAAUGGAGAUUAAUCUUAAACUGAAACAGUAGUUGGGAAAUCUUUUAGAAAUCCACCUAUUACUACCUAUUGGUAAAGGAGAUAAAAUUUCUACAGGUAUGGAGAGUCGGCUUGACUACACUGUGUGGAGCAACUUUUAAAGAAGCAAAGGUAUAGCAGUCCCAAGUAUUUCUUUUUUUUUUUUUUAGACAAGAGUCUAGCUCUUGCCCAGAA
rnacentral:sRNA from 1 species